GGAAUAGGAUUAUCAACUCUACUUACAGUGUCUUCAUUCUCUCAAAUAAAGUCUGCUUACCAAAAUGAAGCAGGCCACUUGCAACAUUUUCAUGUUGAGUCUUGUAUGAAAUGCUGACCCUUGGACAAUACUGGGCGAGCCGCAGUGGAAAAUGAAAUGAAGAAUGACUGUACAAACUUCAGCUGGUUAGAGCAUUGCUUUUUCUGUCAAAAAUGUGGUGAAAGAGCCAGAGGCUGCACUGCAGAUACUGUCUACAAAGCUAUGCCACAUGGGUGCAGGUUGUUGGUGCAGGUGCUGAUGUUGCAUUUAAAAAAAAAAAAUUAGGUGUGGGUGCGCCGAAGAUUAGCAUCGACACGGGUGCGGCAGCAGUUUAGGAGCACCCAUAUGACAUGGCUACGGAGACUGCUUUGAACAGAUUCUGUCAAAAUGAGAAAUGUUAUCGUGAUCUCCUGAAGAUGUUGACAUUUUGUGAUGUGGUUAGUUAUUUGGAAGAAUCUGAAGGUGGUGGGGUUCCUCUUCCAUCUGGGGCAUAUUAACUUGUAGAGUGCUGCAAAGCCUUGGUCUUUCAGCAUUAGGUUCUAGUGCUGGUUUGAAACGCUUUUACCAGGAAAUGGUUACUGGUAGACUGAUCGCCUUUUUACAGGUUUGAGAGGGUUUGUAUCCUGUUCUAGUGAAAGGGGCUACAAAGCAUAUAAGUUGCAUCUUCCUGAAGGUUGUAAGAAAUAGAAACUGCAAGUACCAUCUUUUGCUCUGCUUUUCCCUUGUUACUCCUGUCACUGAAUUGGAACUUUUUAUUGCUUUUAAGAGAAAUAAACCUAUCCAAAGCUGUCAGAUGAACAUGGCUAAAAGGAAAACCAGGUGCUACAUUGCCUUAUUAAGAAUUUUGAUAGUAGUAUAUAAGUGGUCACACCAUUGGAGUAUCUUUGCAAGGUCUGAAGCCACUAUGCACAGAUUUUUUGAAGAGGAACAAAAACUUGUAAAUUUCUAUAACCAAAUUCAGAUAGGCCGUUUUCUGGAGUGAUGUGAAUUUGUGACUGUUCAGAUUUAGUUAAUCCCCCCACAGUAAUUUUUAGACUACUUUGCUAGUGUUAUUCAAUUGCUCUUGCUAGCCUUUUUAUGUGCAUCUAAUGCAUCCAUCUACAGGAUCAGACAAACUGCCCAGAAUUGUUGGAGUUUUCAAGACUCUGACGGUUUACAUGGCUUGCCAAGAUUUUUCGGUGGCUUUAACAAACUAAGCCAAAUACUUGGAUGCGAGACUUUACUGGAGAUGAGCAAGAAGAAAUGUCAAGCCAAACAUCUCAGUUCCUGCUCAAACCUUACCUCUUUUACGAAGUAUGCAUCUGCUUUCUCCUGCAUUGAAGCAUCACCAAUGAUACAUCAGUACCCAACGGCUGAAUAAGAAACCUAGAUUCCCAUGGGAUGGGUUCUAAUUAACCAUGGCAAUUACAUCCCACAGCAACUUACACAGAUCACCUCUCCUGUCUCUUCUGCCCUCUGACGGAUAACCGCUGCAUCAGAACCACUGCCAUGACCAUCACUUGGAGUUUGUCUCAGUGCUGUAACUUCUCCUGUAACUUCUCCAAGCCCAUUGCCUUCACAGUUGGCAUUUAGAGUUGUGGUCUACAUUUUAACAAAUUCUUUUGGGGGCCGUUUGGUAACAAGUAAUAUUGUGUUACUGUCUCAUGAACCUGCCCCAAAAAUUGGGAUAUACAUAGAACAUAUCGUAACAGGUGUUUCAUGCAUCUGCUUUAUAUUUUUGGGUCAGAUUCAUAAGACAAUAACAAUGUGUUAGUGUUGCUGAACAGCUCUUUAUGGGUUGUUUGCUAGCAAGGGUAUUUUGUGAUUAUCAUAUGAAUCUGUCAUAGUCUGCCUCAAAGAUUGGAGUGUGGCAAAGAUUGGAGUAUGGAAGAUUCAUGGGCCAUUUACUGGGAUAGUAAUGACGUUAAAUAGGGCCAGAUUUGGGGGGUUAUGGAAGAUUCAUGAGUGUGUUGCCCUAUGGAGAGGGACCACCCUAAUAUGAGAGCAGUCACCGGGAUAGUAAUCACUAUAAAUAAGGUUGAGGGCCAGAUUCGGGGAGUUGUGGCAGAUUCAUGGGUCUCUUGCCCUCUGGAGAGGGAUCGUCCUAAUCUGCGAUUAGGGCUGAGUGUGUGUUUGGGGGAUUCUUUCUUGUUUCUUGUUACAGGUGUGAUUAAGGUAACCGGUGCAUCGCUCAAGUCUGAAAUUUUUUUCAUUUUAUUGUCCUUAAGCCAAUUGGUUAAAUGUAAAACAUUUAAAUAUAAACAUGAUUGUCUUCUUCCC